rnacentral:rRNA from 1 species
CCUACGGGUGGCUGCAGUGAGGAAUAUUGGUCAAUGGUCGGGAGACUGAACCAGCCAAGCCGCGUGAGGGAGGAAGGUACAGAGUAUCGUAAACCUCUUUUGUCAGGGAACAAAGACUGGUACGCGUCCCCGGAUGAGUGUACCUGAAGAAAAAGCAUCGGCUAACUCCGUGCCAGCAGCCGCGGUAAUACGGAGGAUGCGAGCGUUAUCCGGAUUUAUUGGGUUUAAAGGGUGCGGAGGCGGUCUGUUAAGUUAGGGGUCAAAGCCCGGGGCUCAACCCCGGCCCAGCCGUUGAUACUGGCAGUCUCGAGUUGGAGAGAGGUAUGCGGAAUGCGCGGUGUAGCGGUGAAAUGCAUAGAGAUCGCGCAGAACUCCGAGUGCGAAGGCAGCAUGCCGGCUCCACACUGACGCUGAGGCACGAAAGCGUGGGUAUCGAACAGGAUUAGAUACCCUGGUAGUC